rnacentral:rRNA from 1 species
AUGGCGGAUGGUGAUGGACCUUGGUAUGACGAAUUAAUCGAUGAGUGGGAUAAGGAGCAUCGUGCUCGUGCCAUUGAAAAUGGACAGGUUGUAGUUGCUAUGCGCAUGAGGGGUCAUUCCGCUGAUGACUUUGAUUACGACCCGCGGUAUGAGCCUUACAUUCGGAGAUUGGGUCUUCUCCCAUUCGUGUUGCAGUUUAAGCGACGCGCUCCGCCGGUGAACCACGCGGCGCUGACCGCACUUGUGGAUCGUUGGAGGCCGGAGACUCACUCCUUCCACCUUCCAUGUGGGGAGAUGACGAUGACCCUACAGGACAUGGCUAUGAUAAGCGGCCUUCCUAUCAAUGGACAAGCUGUUACCGGUCGUGUCAGCGUGGGUAAUUGGCGAGAACGGACUGCCGAUUUAAUUGGCGUUCAGCCCGAGGGCCCUCAAGAAGGCAAGGCCGAUACAGCGAAAGUGAGGCAUUCUUGGCUAAAACUGGUCAGAGGAAACACCAACCCGUGCCCUCAGGAUGCCAAUGACGUGGUUGUGCAGCAGUACGCGCGGGCCUAUCUUUGGUAUGUACUAACCAAGCUUGACUUGGCGUGUCGGAGGAAGGGAGGUACAUCCUCAUUUUCUGGGUUUGUUUGGAGCCUAUCCGUGUGGAUGUGGGAGCGGAUCCCGGUUGGACGGCCCGAUUUGAAGAACCCCCUCAUGGCAAACCCACGGGGUAAUCAUGAUGGGUUGCAUGAUGAUGAUCCAUAUCGGCGCCCUACGCUUGCUUACUAUUGGGAACAAGUGACAGUGUACACAGGAAGCUCGCAUGUGCGAUACAAGUGCUAUAUGAACGAGCUGGACACCUUGACUGCUGAGCAGGUACAUUGGUUGCCUUAUGUGGAAGAUCGUGACUUUGAUCUUAAUGAGAUGUGCACGCGUGAUAGCCAUCUUUGGCGGGCGAGGUGCCCAAUGAUAUGCUUCUUCGCAGUCGAGUGGCACUUUGUAGACCGUGUGGCAAGACAAUUUGGAAAAAGACAAGGUAUUCCAAUUGAGGAGAGCAAGGAGGAAAUGCUAUCUCUGCAUCGGUUCGAUCGAAGGAACAAUCAGGAUAUAUCGGAUUGGGCAAACAAACACCGUGCGUGGAUAGAAAUUUGGAAUCAAAGAGACACGUUAGUGCAAUCAGAGAAUAGACCUCACAAUCAGUCAGCAUAUCAGAAGUAUCAAGUGUGGUAUGCGGAUCGUUACCGGUUAAAGCUGAAGCCAGGUUGGACUCACGAGGAGUGGUCGGAGUUGGUGUCUGAAGACCCGGAGACUGCAGAAGGUUAUCAUACCUUCAACACGGCUGUGAGAGACACCAGAGGGGCUCAUGUUGACUACGCACCGAUGCAUGACGAAAUGGGCAGAGAGUUGCUUCUGUGCGUCAACGAUGCCAAUGUUGCACUGAGUCAUCCACCUGGUGGUGCAUUAUCUGAGAGGACUCUUAGGAGCACGAUGGAGAAGUUCAAGAAGCGGUUCCAUAAGAUGGCAGCUAUGCUUUCUUGCCAUGGUGCUCAGUCCAGUGAUGUGUAUGCACCAGGUAGCCGCGCCGCCAGAGCUAAUAAAUGGUGUUAUGUCCAGAACGAAGAGGACAUAGAGGAGGAGGUCAAUGAAGAGGAGCCAGCACAUCAAGAGGAGCCAACACAUCAUGAUGAGCAUGAGUAUGAUGCAACACAUCAAGAGGAUCAUGAGUAUGAUGUUGAUGCUCCACAACCAUCACAGGUUACACAACCGACACAAGGCAAUGCCCGCUCUAGAAAAGGCAAAGCAAUAGCUAAGACACCGGGCCAGAAAGGUAGAAAGAAGAUAUGGAACACUCAAUUCCAUAGUCCGGAGUAUCCUCAUCAAUUUAUGCCUGCGGGAAUGCAAAGAUAUAAGUCGAACAUUGAUGCAGAGGCGGAGGAGGCUAGCGAAGAGGAGGAGCAUGAGGCUAGCGAAGAGGGGGAGCAUACACUUGCAGAUAUCGUGAAGAGAGGAAGGAAGAAGUGA